GGGGGGCGGGGGGGGGGGGGCUGACACGUGCGGGUCGGGGGGGGGAGGGGGGCUUGGUCCUGGAUUCAGCGGCGGACGGGGGAGUAAUGCCUAGGACUCUGCCUGGUAGUGGGUGAUCACGACCGGACACGCGCGCUAAUACCGCAUCCGUCCUUAGGGAGCACGCGGGGGAUCUUCGGCCCUCACGCCAUCAUAUGAUCCUAGGGCGGGUUAGCUAGUUGGUGGGGUAAAUGCCUACCCAGGCGACGCUCCCUACCUGUUCUGAGAGGAUGAUCAGUCACGCUGGAACUGAGCCACGGUCCGCUCUCCUACGGGAGGCAGCAGUGGGGAAUAUUUGACAACGGGCGAAAGCCUGAUCCAGCCAUGCCGCGUGUGUGAAGAAGGUCUUCGGAUUGUAAAGGAGUGUAAGUUGGGAGGAAGGGCAGUGAGUUAUUACCUUGCUGUUUUGACGUUACCAACAGAAUAAGCACCGGCUAACUUCGUG
rnacentral:rRNA from 1 species